rnacentral:rRNA from 1 species
CGUGUAGGCGGUUUCGCAAGUCAGGUGUGAAAGCCCGGGGCUCAACCCCGGAAGUGCACUUGAUACUACGGAGCUGGAGUACUGAAGAGGAGAGCGGAAUUCCCGGUGUAGAGGUGAAAUUCGUAGAUAUCGGGAGGAACACCAGUGGCGAAGGCGGCUCUCUGGGCAGAUACUGACGCUGAGACGCGAAAGCGUGGGUAGCAAACAGGAUUAGAUACCCUGGUAGUCCACGCUGUAAACGAUGAGAACUGGGUGUUGUGGGUAUUGACCCCCGCAGUGCCGAAGCCAACGCGUUAAGUUCUCCGCCUGGGAAGUACGGCCGCAAGGCUAAA